CUCAUUAAAACGUAAGGUGUGUAAAUUUACUAAGUUCAUUAUACACAUUAGAAACGAGAUAUGCUACACAGAAAUUCCCAAUUACUGCACAACUUCCCUCCCGGGCCCAGGACGACAAAGCCAGUGCACGGGAAGCUGCAGGCUGCGGUCACCCCGGCCCCGAGUCCCGACAAGACGCCUCCUCCUCGCCGGCGGACUGCUCUCGAGGAGGACGCUGUCCCUGGAAGUGUCCCCAGCUGUGCGUCUGUUCAUGUGACGUUAGAGCGUUGUUUCUUUUCCUUCUUCUUGCAGGUGAGUUUACACAGCACAGCCGCCGGCUUGCCUGGCCUUCGAGGGCUGGCUCCCCACCGCCGGUGCCUCUGAAUGACGGCCGCGCCCCUGGAGCCGCUCCAUCCCGGCCACCGCUUUUCUGCUUUAUCUUCAGUGACUCAGCCGGGUGGCCGCUUGGAGCAGCCGUCAAGCGCAGGCCGAGGUCAGCUCAGGCUACUGGGCUUGCCGGAGAGGCAGACUUGCUCUUUGUGGGGCAGAAAGAGCAUUGCUGUGCUUCACACUGAGAACACUAGGUUAAAAAGUGUGGUGUGCCUUAUAAUAAGAAGGAUUUUUUUUAUAGGAACUUAAAUUUAAGACACUCGGGUCCUCUGGAGGGGACUUGGGGGACCCUGUACCCCGGGAAACAUUCAUGACAGUGCACCUGGAGAGCAGACCUCACGCAUGGGCUGUUGGUGUCGUGCGGCCGUGGCUCCCGCUCAGGGCUGACCCUUGUCUCCUCGCUGUCCACUCGGUUUGCCCUGGGCUGUGUGCUUAAGUCCAGAAUAAUGCAUCCACAGCCUCUGCUGGACUCGAACGUUCUACUGACUCGGCCUGGGGCCUUGCACCACUGCUGCUCGUCCGAGGUUUCCAAGCACUUCCAGAGCAGCACCUGGGGACGGGCCUGACCCCGCAGGCCGGGGCCACUUCCAGAGUUCCCGCCGAGCCAGUCUGCACGGGGGAAAGCGUGGCAGAGUCAGAGCCCUCCAGCCCCGGACCACCCGUGACUCCGCGGAGGGCUGUCCCGGCGUCGAGCAGGGUACGAGAUAACCGGAUGAGUUUGGAGGAGCAGAAGGAUUUGUGUAGGCAUCAGAGUCAGCCGGGAAAUGUUCCCUAACUGUCCCCUCGGGGGGCCAGGCUGAGGCUCUGCUGGAAUAAUGAGAUGAGGAAAUUUUCAAAUGUCCCCAGCCCCAGCCAAGCUUGAGAACCUCUGAAUCCGGGGCUCCCUGGGCAAAGGCAGAGAAGAGACGAAGAGAGGCGGGAAAGCACGAGGUAAGGCUGGCGGGAAGCCUGGCCGAUUCCAUGUGUGCGGCCGUAAAGUGAUUUGGCAGCGAGCUCUCCAGCGGGCGUGGGCCGUAAUCGAACACACGGAGGCCGUGUGCGGAGGCCGCAGCAGGAGGCCAGCGCCCCACCGGGCUUCUGUCUGGAAUAAAGGAUCUGGGGUGGAGUGGGGCAGGUUUCAGCGGCAGGACCCAGGGCAAGACUGCACACCAGGCGGCGACCCAUGGGUGACGUGGAUGGGCUGGGGCCUAGGACCUGCCUUUUAAACCAGCCCACAGGAAGCCAGUGUGGGGCAGGGUCGCCCUGCAGGCGUGGUCCCUCCCCUGAUGGCCAGCGCCUCUUUGUCCACCUCCUGGGGGAUGCUGCUGGUCCGGGUCCCUGCCCUGCACACCCUAAAGCUACUGUGCAGCUCUGUAACUGCUGAG